UACGUAGGAUCCGAGCAUUAUCCGGAGUGACUGGGUGUAAAGAGUUGCGUAGGUGGCAUAAUAAGUAGCUAGUGAAAUCUGGUGGCUCAACCAUUCAGGCUAUUAGCUAAACUGUUAAGCUCGAGACCGUUAGGGGUAACUGGAAUUUCUAGUGUAGGAGUGAAAUCCGUAGAUAUUAGAAAGAACACCGAUAGCGUAGGCAUGUUACUGGGACGGUUCUGACACUAAGGCACGAAAGCGUAGGGAGCAA
rnacentral:rRNA from 1 species